rnacentral:tRNA from 1 species
ACUUUCUUAGUAUUAAUGUAGUACGGUUGACUUCCAAUCAACUAGUCUCAGAGUAAGCCUGAGAGAAAGUA